UACAGAGGGUGCGAGCGUUGUUCGGAAUUACUGGGCGUAAAGCGCGCGCAGGCGGCUUUUUAAGUCCGACGGGGAAAUGCCGGGGCUCAACCCCGUGCCCGCCGCGGAUACUGGGAAGCUGGAGACGAGUAGAGGCAAGCGGAAUUCCGGGUGUAGCGGUGGAAUGCGUAGAGAUCCGGAAGAACACCGGAGGCGAAGGCGGCUUGCUGGGCUCGGUCUGACGCUGAGGCGCGAAAGCGUGGGGAGCGAACAGG
rnacentral:rRNA from 1 species